CAGCUAACAUUUUCUCCAACUCUGCCUUC
rnacentral:sRNA from 1 species